GAUGAACGCUAGCUACAGGCUUAACACAUGCAAGUCGAGGGGAAACGGCAUCGAAAGCUUGCUUUUGAUGGGCGUCGACCGGCGCACGGGUGAGUAACGCGUAUCCAACCUGCCCAUCACUUGGGAAUAACCUUGCGAAAGUAAGACUAAUACCCAAUGACAUCCCACGAAGACAUCUGAAUGGGAUUAAAGAUUUAUCGGUGAUGGAUGGGGUUGCGUCUGAUUAGCUUGUUGGCGGGGUAACGGCCCACCAAGGCAACGAUCAGUAGGGGUUCUGAGAGGAAGGUCCCCCACAUUGGAACUGCGACACGGUCCAAACUCCUACGGGAGGCAGCAGUGAGGAAUAUUGGUCAAUGGGCGAGAGCCUGAACCAGCCAAGUAGCGUGCAGGAUGACGGCCCUAUGGGUUGUAAACUGCUUUUAUAAGGGAAUAAAGUGGGUCUCGUGAGACUUUUUGCAUGUACCUUAUGAAUAAGGACCGGCUAAUUCCGUG
rnacentral:rRNA from 1 species